rnacentral:lncRNA from 1 species
AGGAGUGCGAGACCAUCCUGGCUAACAUGGUAGAGAUAGGGUUGCCUGUCUGGCUCUGUUGUCCAGGCACUUUCGGAGGACGAGGUGGGAAAGUGACCCUGGGAUGAGAGGCGUGAGCCACCAUGCCGGGCCGAGUGCAGCUUUGUCGGUAACAAAUUACAAACUAGCAUUUGUUCCCUGAAAAAAAUAUUUAUUUCACCUUUCUUAAUAAGGGUGUUUUUGCUGGGAGUGGCAUUCCAGGUUGACAAAGUGUUUGUUUGGGACAGAGUCUUGCUGUCACCCAGGCUGGAGUGCAUUGGUGUGGUCUCGGCUCACUGCAGCCUCCACCUCCCGGGUUCAAGCAGUUCUCCUGCCUCAGCCUCCCAAGCAGCUGGAACCACAGGCACCUGUCACCACACCUGGCUAAUUUUUGUAUUUUUUUUUAGUAGAGACGGGGUUUCAUCAUGUUAGCCAG